rnacentral:rRNA from 1 species
CACGUAGGGGGCAAGCGUUGUCCGGAAUCAUUGGGCGUAAAGAGCUCGUAGGCGGCUCGGUAAGUCGGGUGUGAAACCCCCAGGCUCAACCUGGGGACGCCACCCGAUACUGCUGUGGCUAGAGUCCAGUAGGGGAGUGUGGAAUUCCCGGUGUAGCGGUGAAAUGCGUAGAUAUCUGGAGGAACACCGGUGGCGAAGGCGGCAUCCUGGACCAAUAUUGACGCUGAGGAGCGAAAGCCAGGGGAGCAACGGG